rnacentral:rRNA from 1 species
GAUGAACGCUGGCGGCGUGCCUAAUACAUGCAAGUCGAGCGAACAGACGAGGAGCUUGCUCCUCUGACGUUAGCGGCGGACGGGUGAGUAACACGUGGAUAACCUACCUAUAAGACUGGGAUAACUUCGGGAAACCGGAGCUAAUACCGGAUAAUAUAUUGAACCGCAUGGUUCAAUAGUGAAAGACGGUUUUGCUGUGACUUCUAGACCUAUCCGCGCCGCAUUAGCUAGUUGGUAAGGUAACGGCUUACCAAGGCAACGAUGCGUAGCCGACCUGAGAGGGUGAUCGGCCACACUGGAACUGAGACACGGUCCAGACUCCUACGGGAGGCAGCAGUAGGGAAUCUUCCGCAAUGGGCGAAAGCCUGACGUGGCAACGCCGCGUGAGUGAUGAAGAGCUGCGGAUCGUAAAACUCUGUUAUUAGGGAAGAACAAAUGUGUAAGUAACUAUGCACGUCUUGACGGUACCUAAUCAGAAAGCCACGGCUAACUACGUG